GCAAACUUGGUCAUUUAGAGGAAGUAAAAGUCGUAACAAGGUUUCCGUAGGUGAACCUGCGGAAGGAUCAUUACCGAGAGGGGCUUUGCCCCAGGGGAUUACGGUCCCCGUCUCUACACCCCGUGAUUAUCUCCACUGUUGCUUUGGCGGGGGCCUCUGCGCCCGCCAACAGCCCAUUUUAAACCAAUUUGUUGAGGUCAGAGUAUACGUAAAAUUACAAAAAACUUUCAACAACGGAUCUCUUGGUUCUGGCAUCGAUGAAGAACGCAGC
rnacentral:misc_RNA from 1 species